rnacentral:lncRNA from 1 species
AAAAGGGGACACCACCUUUGUAGUGGUUAAUGCUAGAGGUAGCUAAUGAAUGCAAGCAUGAAGUGCUAAAUGUUGUGUAUUCAUGAAGUGAUUAUUAGUUAGUCGAAACUUAAGUCAAGUUUGAAUUUGAAUGAAGUGGAUUAUUUUGUUAGGACUUCAAUUGACCAAACGAUUAAAUUAUUUUACAAUCUACAAUUUUUGAAUAUGUAAGUUGGAUACAAGUUUAAAUUUGGGAUAUGCUUUGCUAAUAAUGAAAGUUAGAGGGGUUAGAUUAUAUUAGUUGAAAAGAUGAGAGACUUCCUUUGUAAAUCUAGGAUUUAUGGCCACUUAUUACCCUAUAAUCAACCCACUUGUCAUCUAUCAUCACCAUACACUUAGACAAUAGACUAAACAUGUGUAGA